AAAUCGACAUCCCGUUCUUCAGUGGCAAUUAUCAAAAUUGGGUGUCUUUCAAGGACUUGUUUACUGAAGCUAUCCACAGUAACAUCUCCUUAUCAAACGCCCACAAGAUGCAGUUUCUUAAAAGCAAGGUGCGAGGAGAAGCUGAACGUUUGAUACAGCAUUUACAAAUCAGUUCUGACAAUUACAAUGUCUGCUGGGAGAUAUUGAACAAUAGAUCAAGAAAAUUCACGAUACCACUCUAGAGUGUUUAAACUCAAUAAGGAACCUAGGCGUUAACAUAGACAGCUGGGAUCCAUUCAUCGUGCGUAUUUUAUUGCUGAAAUUGGAUGCGGACACGCAUGAUCAUUAUUUGGAAUCUCUGAAGAAACCCAGAGAUCUACCAAAAUUGACGGAGUUUCUAAGCUUCUUAGAGAGCAGAUUCACCGCAUUGGAAUCUUCACGCAAGAAAAACGAAAAUUCCAAACCAUCAACAAGCAAGCAAAAUAAAACAUCGUCAUCAUUCUUCAAGAAUAAAUAUUCAGCAAGUAAGACUUCGGUAAAUAAUAUCGAAUUAACAUGUCCAUUAUGCAAAGAGUCACAUGGAAUAUACUAUUGUAAUAAGUUUUUAACUAUGACGCCAAGUUCGAAGCGACAAGCUAUAACACGAUUACGUCUGUGCAAAAUUGUCUUUAUUCGCAUGGGGAUAAGGAAUGUACGUCCGAAAACGGUGCCGCGAAUGUAGCGGUAGACAUAAUACACUUUUACAUGAAGCGUUCAACAAUAAGUCUUCAUGUAACACAAUUACUGAGAAUAAAACACCAGUGGUCCUUGCAACGCAAAAUCAAGAAUCUCAAGAAAAUCACGUUGCGCAACAAGGCAAUAACAUGAUCGAAACAUUAUUAGCAACCGCAAUGAUCAAAGUUCAAGCAAGUGACGGAUCAUACCACAAAAUGCGUGCGCUAAUAGAUCAAGGCUCUCAAGCCUCUCUUAUCACAGCGAGAGCGACACAACAGCUAGCUUUAUCAAGAAAGUAUUGCAAGGCCGUCAUCUGCGGGAUAGGAGAAAAGGAGAGCAGUAGCAAGGGCGUUACGAACAUAACAUGUUGUUCGCAUUUCAAUGACUUUACAUUUAAAACAGAUGUAGUAAUCAUGGACACGCUGAUUAAUCAGUUACCAAGAUGUACAUUUACCAAGCCAACAUGGGCACAUCUAGCUGGCGUGCAACUAGCCGAUCCAGAAUACAAUGUCAGCCGUCCUAUCGACAUCUUAUUGGGAGCCGAUGUGUAUUCCCAUAUCAUUUUAGAGGGCAUUAUCAGGGUGGAUCUAUCAUUACCGGUCGCGCAACAGACACGACUGGGAUGGAUCUUAUGCGGAAACUUAAACACUUUUCAUUGUAGCGUAGUCCUGAAUCAAGUGGACGAAGUACAAAGAUUUUGGGAGAUUGAAGACAUCUCGGAAUCAUCCAAUUUAUCUGCAGAAGAUCUACAAUGCAUUGAGUAUUACAAGAAAACCACAAGAAGGCAUGAUAAUGGCAUGUAUGAAGUAAGAUUGCCUUUUCAAGAAAACUUUGAGGUACAGUUGGGAUUGUCUAAAAAUAAAGCAAUGGCGCAAUUUCAACAGUUGGAAAGGAAAUUUCACAAUAAUGAAGAAUUAGCAAAACAAUAUAAAUUAUUUAUUCAAGAAUAUAAAACGUUAGGACAUAUGA